ACGGAGGAUCCAAGCGUUAUCCGGAUUUAUUGGGUUUAAAGGGUGCGUAGGCGGACCCGUAAGUCAGUGGUGAAAGUUUGCAGCUCAACUGUAAAAUUGCCAUUGAAACUAUGGGUCUUGAGUGUAAAUGAGGUAGGCGGAAUGUGUUGUGUAGCGGUGAAAUGCUUAGAUAUAACACAGAACACCAAUUGCGAAGGCAGCUUACUAGGAUACAACUGACGCUGAGGCACGAAAGCGUGGGGAUCAAACAGGAUUAGAUACCCUGGUAGUCCACGCAGUAAACGAUGAAUACUAACUGUAUGCGAUAUACUGUAUGUGGUAAAGCGAAAGCGUUAAGUAUUCCACCUGGGGAGUACGUUCGCAAGAAU
rnacentral:rRNA from 1 species